rnacentral:rRNA from 1 species
AGCCAGGUGUUCUCACGCUUGGUUAUUUCUGCUCAAUGGCACGCUAAAUAGCCGCAGUACCCUGACUGUGCAAAGGUAGCAUAAUCAUUUGGCUUAUAAUUGAAGUCUGGCAUGAAAGAAAUCAUGUGUAACAACUGUCUUCUAUAGAUCUUUAGAAUUUACUAAUUAGGUGAAAAUACCUAUAAAUUAAUAAUAGACGAGAAGACCCUAGAAAUUUUAAUAUAAAAGUAUUUUUGCUUACUAUUUUGUUGGGGCGACAGAAUAACAGUUGAACUUAUUUUAAUUAAUUUGUACUAAUUUUUGAGUAAAAUUAAAUUACUCUAGGGAUAACAGCAUAAUUUAUUAAAGUUUGUGACCUCGAUGUUGGACUAGGGUUUUUAAUAAUCAGAAGUUAUUAAAUUAGGCUCUGUUCGAGCCUCAUUCCU